GUCAGUGUGGUGUAGUGGUUUGAGUGUUGAACUACAACUCUGGAGAUCAGGGUUUGAUUCCCAGCUCAGCCA